UUGACGGAAUCUAAUCAGUUAGAAUGCCCCUGUUAAGGGUAGAUUGAAGACCACACUUCCCCUCAAA
rnacentral:tRNA from 1 species